rfam:Solanum tuberosum cultivar DM 1-3 516 R44 scf00155_17, whole genome shotgun sequence.
GAGCAAGGGUGUCUUUCAAAAUGACAUACAUUUGCAUUGAAGGUUGGCCAUAUGUAUAGCGAUUCUCCGUGCCUUUCAAGCUUUCUUCUCGUAUUGAUUACGGCCUCGAACAAAUUGCUACAUC